UUCCACCUUCAAUCUAUUUAACUUUUUGUGUUCUGCUAACAAUUAUAUUUUCUAUGAUCAAUAAUCAAAUAUUCUCUAACAGUGGAAGCUGGUACUCAGCAAGGAAGUGUUCAGACAGACAAUAAUCCUCAGAAUCUCACCUGGAAGUUGUACAAGAUUGAUUGCCUUAGGACUCAACGGGCCCCUGGAGAACCAUGAUCUUUGGUUGAAUGCAAAUCUUUGGUUGGAUGAUGUUUCAUUCUAACAUACAAAGAACAUUAAGGAGUUAGUCACAGGAAAGUGACACAUUCAAUUUAAUCUUAUGCAACUGUGUGAAAAUCAGAUGAGAUUUAUCCGUUGGAGAUCAAUAAGGGGAUCAGAGUUAAGAGAUUGAAGUUAAGAAAUGAGACUGUUAAGUCUUUAUCCACAGUGGCAAGGACAAGCAGAUACAAAGAAAAUCCUUCUCUAUUCCUAGUCCUUCAUAUAGACUGCCUGGUCAAAGAUAUGUAGUUCUACCUAAAAUGAUCCAACCAACAAAACCACCCUCACAGGUAUAACAAGUUCUUUGGAUUUUUAAUUAAUUCCAAAUGUUGUGAAGUUGACAACCAAGAAUAGCCAUCACAAUUACACCCCUUGUCACAACAUAAUAUCUCCAUAUCAUUCUUUAUUUCCAAACAAAAACAAUAGCUAGGUCAUUAUCAUAGUAACAAAGUAUAACUAUCCCAAAUACAACUGAAAUAUAUAUAUUUAAUUUGGUCAUAAUUUAUCCUAACAUGAUAUAGCUAUCACAUGUAUAAUAACAAACAUUAUAUAAUUUAUUAUAGGUGACAAUGUCACAUAUGGAGCAUUGUUUUAGUAUAUCAAAACUUACCUGUAAAAAGCCUGAUAUUUUCUCAAUGUAUAUCCUUUAUAUGAUAAAGAAAUCAAGGAAAUCAAAACAAAUAUCUGCACAAACACAUUCUUAAGAAAACUCAUGUAAAUUAUGAUCCUCAUUUCUACAACUGGUAACAUGACCUUAGCUUGUUUUUAUAACACCCUUCCUAUAUACUACUGAUUCUGCUGUAUUUUAUGAACUCUCAGAAAGUACCUCAGUUUGUGUUCAUCAUUUUUCCAAAGAGUGGCCCCAACGUUUAUUACUAAAGAGUUUUUGCCACUUUUUCUCCUUCCUGAAUCAUUGUAGUUCCCUAUCUACUUAUUUAUAAAACAUGGUAAUACCAAGAGACAACCUGAAAGAUAUCCUGCUCUUCAGAUAUAAUCUUUCUUCCAUCCACUGUGGAAAAAUAAUCUGAUCUUCUCGCAAAAUUUCCAUUGGUUUUCUUUCUUAGCCUGUUGGGUUAAGCACAUUAGAAUUCCCAGGUUAACAGAGGAAAGUUUGAGCUUCCAGUUUGAUAGAAUGUAUUUUCUGUCUGCUGACACAAAUGUUCUUUCUUUUCUUUUCCCUUUUCGAA